UCUACCGAAAUUUUAGACGCCCAUGAAGACGUCAUUCACGGGUGUCCCAGAGUGUGGAAAUGACCCACACACUGGUCACAAGGGGCUGGCGGACAGCCCAGGUCAGUGCACUGGGGAACCACGGAGCACCUUCCCACAGAGAACAGAGCAGGACCCGGACACCUCGCCGAGGUCGCCCUGUUACGGAUGAACAGCCGCAGGGCUCAGGGCACACGCGUCUGUGACGGAGGGGCCGCCCG